ensembl:snoRNA SNORA62 Small nucleolar RNA SNORA62/SNORA6 family
AGUGCACAUUGUUAGAGCUUAGAUUUGAGGCUGCAAACUGGUCAAUGAACUCAUAAGUAUAAGUAGUGUGCAACAUAAGUGAUAAGUUUUUCCUAGUGUUCCAUUCUGGCCCAGUGAGUAAGGUUUGAUAAUAAACAGUGAUAUAAAA